rnacentral:rRNA from 1 species
CCUACGGGGGGCAGCAGUGGGGAAUAUUGCACAAUGGGGGAAACCCUGAUGCAGCGACGCCGCGUGAGUGAAGAAGUAUCUCGGUACGUAAAGCUCUAUCAGCAGGGAAGAAAAUGACGGUACCUGACUAAGAAGCCCCGGCUAACUACGUGCCAGCAGCCGCGGUAAUACGGCGGGGGCAAGCGGUAUCCGGAUUUAAUGGGUGUAAAGGGAGCGUAGACGGCAGCACAAGUCUGGAGUGAAAUCCCGGGGCUUAACCCCGGAACUGCCUUGGAAACUGUGCGGCUGGAGUGCAGGAGGGGUAAGCGGAAUGCCUAGUGUAGCGGUGAAAUGCGUAGAUAUUAGGAAGAACACCGGUGGCGAAGGCGGCUUACUGGACUGUAACUGACGUUGAGGCUCGAAAGCGUGGGGAGCAAACAGGAUUAGAUACCCCAGUAGUC